AAUACUCUCGAUUUCAUUUUAAUCUUUUGAAAUCGGAUUUGGGUGUUGUUGUGGGGAUUACACGACUCAUCCUAAAUGCAUUAGCGGUCUGCCUUGAUCAUGCGCAAUGUGAUAAUAAAAAAGCAUUGUUAGGAUCAAGACAAGGUUGCUCCCAACCGUCGAAAGACAACGGGAUAUAUGCGUCGUUUGACCCGCAUAUAUAUGUC
rnacentral:misc_RNA from 1 species